GGUUAGAUUGUCAAGAAGAAAUAGUGUCUACCUAGUAAGAGGUCCUAAGCAACACAGAGCAUUGCUAUUUUGCUUUGAGAAUAUAUCCCUCUGUAUUCUCAAAAAUAUGUGGAAUAUGUGUACAAUUUUAUAAAAGUGGCCAACAUGUGUGUUGCAGUGGGAAAAUAUAUCAUUUAUGUUCUAAAAUAUACUACGACUUGCCCUUUGGAUGUAUCUAUCACAAUUUCUGGAUCAAAUUGUUUCAUCUUCUUCCUCAUUCCCUUCCCUCUUUCCAGCCGUGUGCUUAAGCUUGAUGGCCCCAUGCUUUUGCACUCCUCCGCAGUUCCUUGCCAGCAGCCAUCGUUGUUGUUAAGGCACUCUCAGUUUCCAUGUCUGAAAAAAGCGCAGAGGCCAGCUUAGCGAUCGGAGACGAGUACUGAAGGAAGGAAUUGCUCAAGUAUAAUGUUGUGUCCUGAACCCAGCACAGAUCGCUUUGAGAAUCAUAGUGCUUUCCAAUGCCUGGAAUGGUGAAUUCUUCAGAGAAAGACAACACAACAUGAUCUCAUCUUAUGAUAAAAUUGGAGGGCUCGUACGUCCAUACCCCAAAUCAGUGCUCCAACCCAUCGCGGGAGGUAAAAAGAAAAGCUCAGGGUGCACGUGCACCAAGCGAUCGGACAAUGUCCUCGUUGCAGGCGCUGUUGUACCUGGUCUCCUUCGUGGAGCAUUCAUCAAAUCAUUAAGUUUUGUUUUUGUAGAAUAGAAUGGACUAAGCCUAGGCAUUCGGGUUACCUGUUUUUUUGGAUCGGGUAAUUUAAAAUUCGGGUAAUGAAAAUUGUUACCCGAUAUUAGUCUCGAAAAAGCACUACCCGCAAUUUCGGGUACCCGAUAAUUCAGGUUCG
rnacentral:lncRNA from 1 species